rnacentral:rRNA from 1 species
ACCGGCCAUGACUUCGGUCGUGGCUGUUGUACUCUGUGAUGACUCUGGAUAACUUUACUGAUCGCAGUCGGCCUUGUGUCGGCGACGGAUCCUUCAAAUGUCUGCCCUAUCAAUUGUCGAUGGUAGGUGAUCUGCCUACCAUGGUGAUAACGGGUAACGGGGAAUCAGGGUUCGAUUCCGGAGAGGGAGCCUGAGAAACGGCUACCACUUCUAAGGAAGGCAGCAGGCACGCAAAUUACCCAAUCCCGGCACGGGGAGGUAGUGACGAUAAAUACGGAUACGGGACUCGUUUGAGGCUCCGUAAUUCGAAUGAGUACACUUUAAAUCCUUUAACGAGGACCAACUGGAGGGCAAGUCUGGUGCCAGCAGCCGCGGUAACUCCAGCUCCAGAAGCGUAUAUUAAAGUUGUUGCAGUUAAAAAGCUCGUAGUUGGAUCUGGGUCGCAUGGCUACGCGCCGUUGCUUGUAUUCCUUGUUUGGUUUCGACUAAAUUUGGUUUAUGAGUCGGUGUAGUGGUUGUGCAGCCUUUCUGCCGUGUCUGUUUACAGGUGUUGGUGAAUCGGUGGGCUUGCUCGUCGGUUCAUUGACAUGCUUCCGAAUGCCUUUAAACGGGUGUUGGGGGCGGACGGCAUGUUUACUUUGAACAAAUUUGAGUGCUCAAAGCA